GCCCUAUUAACUCAGCGGUUAGAGUGUGUGGCUUAUAACAACAGUGUCGGGAGUUCGAAUCUCUCAUAGGGCA
rnacentral:tRNA from 1 species